UACGUAGGGUGCGAGCGUUGUCCGGAAUUAUUGGGCGUAAAGAGCUUGUAGGUGGUUUGUCGCGUCUGCUGUGAAAAUCCGAGGCUCAACCUCGGACUUGCAGUGGGUACGGGCAGACUAGAGUGUGGUAGGGGAGACUGGAAUUCCUGGUGUAGCGGUGGAAUGCGCAGAUAUCAGGAGGAACGACCGAUGGCGAAGGCAGGUCUCUGGGCCAUUACUGACACUGAGAAGCGAAAGCAUGGGGAGCGAACAGG
rnacentral:rRNA from 1 species